ACCCCGGAUAAGCCGCAAACGGUGCGGAG
rnacentral:sRNA from 1 species